AGCGAACGCUGGCGGCAGGCUUAACACAUGCAAGUCGAACGGGCACUUCGGUGCUAGUGGCAGACGGGUGAGUAACACGUGGGAACGUACCUUUCGGUUCGGAAUAAUCCAGGGAAACUUGGACUAAUACCGGAUACGCCCUUCGGGGGAAAGAUUCAUCGCCGAUAGAUCGGCCCGCGUCUGAUUAGCUAGUUGGUGAGGUAAUGGCUCACCAAGGCGACGAUCAGUAGCUGGUCUGAGAGGAUGAUCAGCCACAUUGGGACUGAGACACGGCCCAAACUCCUACGGGAGGCAGCAGUGGGGAAUAUUGGAGAAUGGGCGCAAGCCUGAUCCAGCCAUGCCGCGUGAGUGAUGAAGGCCUUAGGGUUGUAAAGCUCUUUUGUCCGGGAAGAUAAUGACUGUACCGGAAGAAUAAGCCCCGGCUAACUUCGUG
rnacentral:rRNA from 1 species